AUAUAUAGAAGUUGGGCUGCUUUAAAAGAAAACAAAUACUCUUUUUUACUCUUUCCUUCUGACAUUGACCUGACUUUGAAAAUUCCCAUAAAAACCAUUUCUGAUGUUUUAGUUUAAAGGGGGAAAAAAGCUGCAGGGCAAUGUUAAACACUUUGUUUUGAGGUUUGUGGUGAAUUUUCUGUUAAUGAGUUAGAGAGAUGUGUAUAGAGGCCAUAUUGUCACAGCUCAAAAACAAAGCCAAAAACAGUUAAUAUAUUGCCUUUUUUUUUUUUUUUUUUUUUUUUUCCUCAUAUUUAUAUUGAAUGCAGUUCUUGGCUUGAGAUGAAAUGUUAAAAUACAAUGCAUUGUCUUUUAUAUUCCUAAAAUUGUAGUGAACUAUAAGAAUAGAGUUAUUAAGUUUAAGUUUUAUUUGUAGUUCUCUGAGCUGCAGACUGAACAUAUUUAGCUUAGUAUGUUGUGUAUUUUGAAUGUGUAACUUUGAAUUAACAAUCAUUGCCUUUCAGGACAAAUGUAUGUGAUUAGUUUAAGACUUUCCAUAGCAGGCAGUCUGUCGGAAACUUGAGUUUGUGAAACUUUUGCAUUUGUAGCACUCUCAUCAUUCCUUUGACCGGAAAUGGGGACAGAUUCAGAAGUGGCUGGAAGAGUCGGAAAGAGCCAGGUCUUCCCACAGAUCCAGUCAUCGUCGUCCUUCUCUGGUUUGUAAUAACCUACAAACUUGCCUCUGAUACUUUUCCUCAUCAGCUUGCUGCAGCCACUCACACACCUUUACUGUGUUUGUUUUUAUCUUAUCAGGGAGUUGAGGAUGCAUUGUCCAUUCGAAGUCUUGGCAGUCACAGGGUUGGUAUUUUAAGUUGUUUACACCCUAAUAGCAAAGCUAUCCCUUUGUCUUUUCUAAAAAAAGAAAAUAUUGGUAAAGUUCUUUUCAUUGGAAAGUGGUAUUUUCUCUCAAAUUAUUGCUAUAAGUAAAUCAAUUCUAAAAUCGUAAAUAUUUUCAUCUAUUAACAUGUAUAUUUACUUUUUUUCUGUAAAAGGACUUUUGAUUUUGUAAAAUCAUUACAAAAUAAUAAGAUUGAUUUUAUAAAAUAACACCUGCAUGGUUCUAACUUUCAGAUUUUUCCUACUUUCAG
rnacentral:lncRNA from 1 species